UUGGGAUAUAAUUUGGUUAAACUGUCCAUUACACCCCUUUCUCGGUGUGUGUUAUCUGUUUCACUGUAGAAAAUGUGGAGGGAAAACCCAAGAUCUCAAGAUGUCAAGCAUACCUGCCAGCAAUAUGCAGUUUGCCAAGCAGAGGUUGAGCAGUGAAGUCGCGAGUCUCCUCGGAGUCCCUGCACAAGAAAGAGGGUGCACUUGACGUAGCGCGAUAGGAUGGAUGAAGAGCGCGGCGGCCCAGAAAGCGGGCAUGCCGCAGUCCUCUGCAGCAGGGCAGUCACCUGCGUGGGUCGCAUGGUGGUGUGAGCCCCGCACGGUGUCUGCCGCAGCCGGCCAGUUCUGUCGGGGGAGCCGGCGUCCCUGGGAGCCUGUUUCCUGGAGUGGGAGUGCGACAGCGCUCGAAGCCACGUUCUGCCAGGCACGGGCCGAGUUUCCUCUGAUGGAAGGUGUUCAGGUUAUUCUAGCCUACCGAUUUGGAGUCUUUGCGUUUCAGGCACCAGAGGAGAGUCCGGCCUUCUCUGCGUGGAAAACUAGACCUCCAGAUUCAGUGCAAAUUUGGCUGCGGGGGCAAGACUGACUACAUAUUUUUCUUACUGUGACAUUUUCCACAGUUCCUAAUUUGUUCAUGCCAAUUUCCAGGGUGUUCCUUUCUCUGGCUGACUAAUAGCAUUCUGGGUCAUCUAUGCUGCCGGCUGCUGGAUGGCCUGGUCUUACUUUUUGUGAUUCCUUCCAUAGACCAGUGGAGGUUUGUUCAAAUGGAUUUAAUUGUAUCUCACUUGGCUCACACGGCCAGUGACUGCUUGGAAUUGUAUUAGGGGGCCUAAUUUGGCUGUGAAUGCAGGCUCUCUAUUUAGGUUUUUCUGAGAUAGAGGCGCACUUAGUCCUGCUAGAGAUUUUGGAAUAUUUUCACUUUCACGGCAAGAGAUCCUAGAAAACGCGAGUCACUUUCAGACUGAACCAGCCAGACCCAGGGUGAGGGUUUAAAAAAAGAACAAAACCCCAAAACAGAUCAAACUUAAGAGAGAGAUCAUGAUUCUUUUGGGAAUUUUGGACUUCUUUGUAAGUGAUUCUAAGAUCCUCCAAAUACUAUUAGCUAAAAUAGUACUGCUUUUGAGCUCUGGGAAAAAAAUCUCCAGACCUCCCCACCGAUAAACAUUCUGAAAGUGAGAGGCUGAAGAGGUUUUUGAGGAAUACACCCAACUUCACAGGGACCCUUUCAGAAGCAGGUUUGGAAAGACUCCUGGAGAAGCCGUGCUCUGGUGGCGCUGUGCGAAUGGUUCCUCUUGCUCCAGUUUGAGACGGAGGAAGUCCUCUGAUAGGUGACUGUCUUGGGCAUUCAACUUCCGUUCUGUGAUGUCUUCAGGAAACAGGCCCGUGGUCUCCCCACCUCUGUGGUUCAGUCUCUCGCAUCUCCCUUGGAAAGGGGCAGCUGCUCACCUCUUGAGAACGUCUUGCUCUUGUGCAGGUGGCUCACCCGUGUCCUUGAGCUCCCAGGGACCACCCUUGGUCUGCUCAGGUCCUGACCAGGGCAAGACGCCAGUGUUGUGCACAGUCCCGUGCUCUGGGCAGCGAGAACGCCGGGCCUGCCGCUCAUUUAGUCCGUGGUUUGAUCUGGAAAGUUCAUGUCUGGCCUCUGGCCUGAGGGUCCUGUGGGAAAGGAAAGCUGGGGCACCAGGUGCUGUGGUGGGUGUUUUCAUGUGUUUUCUUUCAAAUAAGAUUCUUACAACCGAACAGUGUUGGAGAUGGUACUGUUCACAUCUUAGAGAUGAGAAAAUUGAGGGCACUGAGGUGAGCUGUUGGUUCACCGUCACAGAGGAGUCAGGGAUUUGCAUUGGGACCAUCUGACCUCUGGCCUCAGGCAUGGGGUGUGCCUGUUGCGCCUCCUCUCCCGGAGUCAGGGAGAAAGCACAGGAGGGGGUGUCCUCAGGGAACCUGGUACCGGCCCUGGCCCCACUGCCAUCUCUGUGACCCUGGGCAGGCUAUGCCGCUAGAGCCUUGUUUUCACCUCUGUUAAAUGGGACCACAGUGCCUACUUCAAGGCUUUUCCAGCAGUAGAGAGAGAUUAUGUAGAGGUUCGGUAAGUCCCACCUGCAAGGAGGUUUCCCGGGGAACGGCCCUUGUAGGCAGGCUGGUUGGGACUGCACCCAGCUGUCCCGAGGCCCGGCUCCAUCCCUGCCUUUGAAUUCAUGCGUAGAAUGGAGGGGUGGGAGACCGCCUUCGUUAAGGGCGCUUCGUUAGUUCUCAGCAUUCAGUGGCUGCUUCCGGUUCCGCAGGGAUGACGGGGACCCCAGAGGCCACUGGAAGUUUCCGUGGAAGCGACACCAGCUAGACUUUUCUGCUUGUGCCUGGGGCAGCCAGAGGAUUU